rnacentral:lncRNA from 1 species
CUUUUUAACAUAUUAACUCCUUUAAGCCUCACAGUAACCCCACUUUAUUAUCCCUAUUUUCCAGAUGAGGAAACUGAAGCUUGUAGAAGUGAAGUGAUGUUUCUAAGGGAAGUGACAGAAGCAAGAUUGUUAAAGCCUGGCAUUUGUUUUCAAGAAUCCUGAGCUCCUUGAGCGAUUCGUGCCAGGGUUGGAGACCAGUGCCUCUGAACAGGAAAAAAAAGAGCUGCAGAGAGACCCAGCUAUGAUCACAGAGUCCACAGCUCUGUUAAAGUCUCUGAGGGCCUCAGAAGCAACAAAGCUGAUCUCUAGGGGACCAGGUGGAUCUAGGACAGGAACAGAGGCCUCCAGGGUCGGUAACUGGUGGAGCCUCCCCAUGUGAUCAGCUUUGGCUCAACUGAAUUUAAGAAAUAACUGAUAUAUGCAGCGACCUGUCAAGUGUGGGUACCAUUGUCUGGAAGAUGUUGAAUCAGCUGCAGACCAUCCUGAGAUAGUCAGACAUCAAGGAAGAGGUCCUGCUACCCUGAGACAACACACACUGGAGAAGCAACACCCAGCCAUAGCCAGUCUCCAGCGCAGCCCCGUGAGUGACCUCUGGGGCGCCUUGGCCAGCUAGCCCCACCUGACAUCUGGACUGCAACUGCAUCCGAGUCCCAGGUGAGACCUGCCCAGCCAGCCGAGCCCUUCCCAGGACCCUGACACGUAACCAUGAGCAAAGGAAAAUGA